GUUAAAGGACUCUGGCAAGCUCGUGUUCCGCUGAAGAUCAAAGUUUUUCUUUGGAAAAUGUUCCGGGGCCGGCUCCCCACGUCUAUCAACAUAGCAAAACGGAAUGGCCUGGCGACGGGUCCAUGCGCGUUAUGUGGAAACCCUGAGAACGCAAACCACGUCUUCUUUCUCUGUCCUCAUGCUAGGUUUGCUUGGAGCGUUGUGCGCGAGGCGGCGCGUCCCCUGGGACCCGCACUCCUCUUCCGAAUUAGUAGGGUUAGUUGA
rnacentral:rRNA from 1 species